GAUGAACGCUAGCGGCAGGCCUAACACAUGCAAGUCGAGGGGCAGCACGAAUUAGCUUGCUAAUUUGGUGGCGACCGGCGCACGGGUGCGUAACGCGUAUGCAACCUACCUUAUACAAGAGUAUAGCCCGGAGAAAUUCGGAUUAAUCCUCCAUGGUACUGAGACACCGCAUGGUGCUUCAGUUAAAGCUUCGGCGGUAUAAGAUGGGCAUGCGUCCUAUUAGCUAGAUGGUAAGGUAACGGCUUACCAUGGCUACGAUAGGUAGGGGGCCUGAGAGGGUGGUCCCCCACACUGGUACUGAGACACGGACCAGACUCCUACGGGAGGCAGCAGUGAGGAAUAUUGGUCAAUGGGCGCAAGCCUGAACCAGCCAUGCCGCGUGCAGGAAGAAUGCCCUAUGGGUUGUAAACUGCUUUUAUUUGGGAAUAAACCUUUCUACGUGUAGGAAGCUGAAGGUACCAAAUGAAUAAGCACCGGCUAACUCCGUGCCAGCAGCCGCGGUAAUACGGAGGGUGCAAGCGUUAUCCGGAAUCAUUGGGUUUAAAGGGUCCGCAGGCGGAUUUAUAAGUCAGUGGUGAAAGCCUACAGCUUAACUGUAGAACUGCCAUUGAUACUGUAAGUCUUGAAUUCGGUCGAAGUGGGCGGAAUGUGUAGUGUAGCGGUGAAAUGCAUAGAUAUUACACAGAACACCGAUAGCGAAGGCAGCUCACUAGGCCUGGAUUGACGCUCAGGGACGAAAGCGUGGGGAUCAAACAGGAUUAGAUACCCUGGUAGUCCACGCUGUAAACGAUGAUUACUCGUUUUCGGCGAUAUACAGUCGGAGACUAAGCGAAAGUGAUAAGUAAUCCACCUGGGGAGUACGAUCGCAAGGUUG
rnacentral:rRNA from 1 species